rnacentral:tRNA from 1 species
CGGGCAUUAGCGCAGCCUGGUAGCGCACCAGCAUGGGGUGCUGGGGGUCGUCAGUUCGAAUCUGACAUGCCCGACCA